ACGGGAGGCAGCAGUAGGGAAUUUUCGGCAAUGGGCGAAAGCCUGACCGAGCAAUGCCGCGUGAAUGAAGAAGUAUUUCGGUAUGUAAAGUUCUUUUAUUUGGGAAGAAAAAGCAAUUAUUGACUGUACCAAAUGAAUAAGCUCCGGCUAACUACGUGCAGCAGCCGCGGUAAUACGUAGGGAGCAAGCGUUAUCCGGAAUUAUUGGGCGUAAAGGGUGCGUAGAUGGCAUAAUAAGUCUUUUGUAAAAAUGCUGAGCUCAACUCAGUAGGGCAAAAGAUACUGUUAAGCUAGAGUACAGAAGAGGCAAGUGGAACUUCAUGUGUAGCGGUAAAAUGCGUAAAUAUAUGGAAGAACACCAGUGGCGAAGGCGGCUUGCUAGGCCUGUACUGACAUUGAGGCACGAAAGCGUGGGGAGCAAACAGGAUUAGAUACCCUGGUA
rnacentral:rRNA from 1 species